AAAAAAAUUAUAAUUAUAAUUUAAAACAUAUGUGUUUUUAUUAAACUAUUCUUGAAAAUUUAGUCAUUGUUUGGUUAGUGUACUAACCAAAAAAAUUUCGAAACCAUUACUAUUUUUACAUUAGUAUAUUUUUAAUACAACAAGAUCAUUCAGCCCUAAGCAUCAACUUGCCAUGUUCCAUUAUAAUAAGUGCUACGAUUACGGUGCUUUUAUUAAUAUGGCGUUUUGCAAUAUUAUUAUUAUAUCGAUACAUUUACUCGUUUUUUCUAAUGGAGCUUUUUGUACAUCUCCAAUAAACACGGAGUACGAAUGUUUACAUUUCUUAAGGUGAUGGUGAAGAAGAAACAUGUACUAUUUGUUUUGAACAGCCAUCAAUAGUAAUAGUAAAACCUUGUAACCACAAAAUUUGUAAUAGAUGUGCAAAUAUACUUAAUAUUUUGAAGAUGUUUCCCUGGGAUCCAAUUUUGUGUCCAUGGUGCGUAACAAAAAUAUCACAUUUUGAUGGCAUAGUGAAGUUGGAAACAUGUAAGUGUAAAAAAGAACUACCAACAGUAACUUUAAAACCAUGUAACCAUAAAAUUGGAAAUAACUGUGCCAUUGAAAAAGAAAAAGUAUAUUUACCAAAAUGUAGUCAAUGUAAUUCUGAAAUAUCUAGCUAUGAUGGAUUAAUUAAUGAACCAUAUACAAAUGAAAUAGACGAUGAAACUUUAUUCAGAGAUAUUUUUCAGGAUCAAGCAGAUAACGUUCUCUUUGUAUUAAAUAACUGUGCUUAUUUCAUAAAAUAUUUUUUACAUUUAUUUAGACGUAAUUAAAAUUGAAAAGCACCACGGAAUAACUAAUACUGUAGUACACAAGAAAAUGCAUGUAAACUGAUAUAAUAUGAUUUUCUGAAAAAAUUGGACUUGUAUUGUUAUUACACUAUGCUCUUCAACUUAAACAAGUUAUUAUUUAAGAUUAUUUACUGUUUUUAUUUGAUAACUAUUAUUGUAUGAACAUUGCAUAAGAAAAAAAAUUCUAUUUUAUACAAUAUAUUGUGGUUACUUAAAAAUAAAAUGUAUAUCAAUGUUUGAUACUCUUUGCCCCCUGUAGAUUUUGUGGCACUUAAAUAAUUAAAA